rnacentral:lncRNA from 1 species
CAGAGUCAGGCUGCACAUUGGCUUGGAGGACAGGCCUUUCCUCUGGGACUGUGAGGCCCAGAGUGCCCACCCAGAACUCCACCUCUGACCUCACAAAGGCCUGCUUCAGAACUCGGUCUCCACGGCACUGCUGGCCAGAUGAGGGAUGUUAUUUUGGGCAGUGCAUCUGGACUUGGUUCAAGUGGCACCAGCCAAAUCCCUGCCUUACUGACCUCUCCCCUGGAGGAGCAGGAGCAGCACUCGAGGCCGCCCUGGGAGGGCUGAGAGGCAGGCUCUGGACUGGGGACACAGGGAUAGCUGAGCCCCAGCUGGGGGUGGAAGCUGAGACAGGGACAGUCACAGAGGAACAAGAUCAAGAUGCGCUUUAACUGAGAAGCCCCCAAGGCAGAGGCUGAGAAUCAGAAGACAUUUCAGCAGACAUCUACAAAUCUGAAGGACAAAACAUGGUUCAAGCAUCUGGGCACAGGCGUGGCCAUUCUCCACUUUUCGGGUGGAGAGCUGAUGGUGACCGGUCCCGUUGCUACAGCUGGCAUUUUUGCCACCUACCUUCCUGAUCACAUGACAUUGUGGCGGGGCUUCCUGAAUGAGAACAUACAUAUGAUAGUUGAAAAAGACACAUAUUCUGAUCAUGAAGAAAUAAACACAAGUUAAAUAUGACUAAGCAGAAAGAUGGAAGGACCAGGAACGGUGAUGCUAACUUGGAACCACGAUGCAGGCUCUAAACUCCUCUACAAUCAUCCUCCCUUGUGAGAAAAAUACAUAAUUCACUUUUAAAAUAAAUAGAAACCUGAACACACUUCUUAGCUGGUUUAAGUAUUUUAAAAACAUUGAUGAAUUAAACACAGAAAUAUGGGGAAAUCUCAUUACUUACCUUAAAUUUUGAAAUUUUCAUUACAGAUCAUGAGUUACUUAAUGCUUUUUCAUUCCUGAGUUUACAUUGUAAAUUAAAGUUAUGUCACCUUUAAAAAAU